ACACUUUUUAAUCUCUCGAACCAUUUCUCCUAAAUCUCUGGAAAGAGACAAGGAGGAUGGUCAUUGGGUAUUUCGUGAAACCGGAAUGCCUCCCGUGCUUGGAAAGGCGAGAUUAAAGUUUUUUU
rnacentral:ncRNA from 2 species